GAGGUCUUUAGAGUAUAAGAUAUAUGUAUAACUGUUGUGUGCUAAAUAAAGGGAAUUAUUUGUAUUUCCGAAUCCAUUCUAUAUCUUUACAUGGUAGCAGAGCGUGGUUCAAAGUUUUCCAGUUAUUUUAGUGCAUGGUUUUCAAUAUUGCGAGUUAGAUCGAGUGAGUCUUCAGUAAGGAAAGAAACGUUCAAAGGUUACAAAGAGGAAAAAUACACUUCGAGCACGUAGGAACGCUUGAGUAAGAGAUAAGGAAUCAUUUUAAAUGGAGAGAUUGGAAAUCAUGAUACCUAUUUUCGAUGGAUAUUUACGGUAUGUGGAAGCAAAGAAUAACGAUGUUUAUCAAGUAUAGAGAAUGCGAGGUUGUCACAACUAGGGUGAAGACAGAAACAGACAGUGAAGACUGGGACAAAAAGGAUCCGAAGGCAAUAAAUAUAAUUUAUAGUGCAAUCACAAACAGACCAUUGGAAUAUAUUAGAGAAGAAAAAACGGCGUAUGAGAUAGUAAAAAA
rnacentral:misc_RNA from 1 species